GUCUGCCCAUGCUCCGGCCCCCGCGCUCGCCCUCAUCAUGGGCGUGUGCGCAACCUCUGCACAUGCCUAGUGGGCCCGGGAAGCCACGGGGAAGCCGCUGCCCGGCCGCGGCCCUGCGCCUGGAGGAGUCUCGCUGCCCUUCCCCGGACGCACCUUGGCCCUGCCGGAGCCGCGCGGGGAGCGGAGCGGAGCGGAGCAAGGGGCCGGAGGGAGGACGUGUUGGGGGAUGGAGGAGCAGCUCUUCCCCAGAGGGGAGGUGAAAGGGCUUGAAGGUACCCCACAGGAAGGAAUUCCCAAGUGUCCUUCCUGGGUCCUCAAAGGGGUUUUUGCACUUGGGUGGUAGCAGCAUCUACCCAUCCAAGGUAUGUCUACACUGGCGGAGUUACAGCACCGUUCAGAGAGCACUGAAGGGAAACCACUGUUGUGUGUUCACACUGUCAGCUGCCUGUGCAAUAGCAUGUUCACACUUGUGGCACUUGCAGUGGUAUUCGGAGCGGUGCACUCUGGGCAGCUAUCCCACAGAGCAUCUCUUCUUCUUCUGCCGCUAAGAGUUGUGGGAAGGCAGAAGAGGUUGCGGGGCAUCUUGGCUCCUGUCCCAAUGCCCCGUGAUGCAUUGCUUCGCAUCCCCGCAAUCCCUGUGCUUCUGUCUGCAUUUGGCACCAUCCUUCAACGGUUUGUAUACUGCACACUCUGCUCUGCCUUUUUGGUCUGCAGGAAUGGAUCCCACACUGUUGACCAAAAUUCUGCUCGCUCUGACUAACAUGUCACAAGUGGCAGUGGAGUUAUUCCUUAAACUACAAAGGCAAGAGGAGUGCGACAUUGAUCUCGCCACACAUAGUAGCUAUGACACGAGAUUGCUUGUGGCAUUCACGGAGGUGCUGACCACAGUGGAAUGCUGAUUUUAGGCUUGGGAAACAAGCGCUGAGUGGUGGGAUCACAUCGUGAUGCAUGUCUGGGAUGACGAGCAGUGGCUGCAGAACUUUUGGAUGAGGAAAGCCACAUUCAUGGGACUGUGUGAUGAGCUCAUCCCAGCCCUGCGGUGCCAGGACACGAGAAUAAGAGCUGCCCUGCCAUCAGAGAAGUGUGUGGCGAUUGCACUUUGGAACUGGCUACUCCAGACUGCUACCAAUCGAUCGCUAACCAGUUUGGAGUGGAAAAGUUGACUAUUAGACUCAUGUUGACAGAAAUGUGCAGGGCCAUUAAUUGCAUCCUGCUCCGAAAGACUGUGACUCUGGGCAGUGUACAUGGCAUUGUAGAUGGCUUUGCACAGAUGGGCUUCCCUAACUGCAGAGGGGCAAUAGAUGGUACGCAUAUUCCAAUUCUGGCACCAGACCACCUAGCCACCGAGUACAUUAAUCUCAAGGGGUAUUUCUCAAUGGUUCUCCAGGAGCUUGUGGAUUACCGUGGGCGUUUCACGCAGGCUCAUCCAGAAAGGUGCAUGAUGCACGCAUCUUUCAGAACACUGGCCUGUUCUGGAAGCUGCAAGCCGGGACUUUCUUCCUGGACGAGAAGAUCACCAUAGGGGAAGUCGCAAUGCUCAUUGUGAUCCUGGGAGACUUUAUCUACCCCUUAAUGCCGUGGCUUAUGAAGCCAUACACGGGGCACCUUGACAGCAGCAAGGAGUGGUUCAACAGUAACAGGCAGAAUGACUGUUGAGUGUGCUUUUGGCCGUUUAAUGGCCCACUGGCACCGCCUAUAUGGGAGGCUGGAUCUGGCUGAUGACAAUAUUCCUAUGCUUAUAGCCGCAUGCUGUACAAUCCAUAAUAUUUGUGAAGGGAAGGGUGAAAGCUUCACUCAGGGAUGGAUCACGGAGGCUCAGUCCCUGGAGGCUGAAUUUGCACAGCCAGAGACCAGGGCUAUUAGAGGGGUACAUCACAGGGCCAUAAGGAUCAGGGAUGCUUUGAGGCAGCAAUCUGAAGAUGAAAGCCACUAAUAUUUGUUGUUAUGCUCAGUAGUGCAGUGCUUGUAAUGCUAGGAGGUGAUUGUGAUUGGUGCAGAUGGUGCACUAUGAAGGUGUAAGAAAAUUGCCUAUUGCUUUGCAGGGCUCCAUUUGCUUUGAAUUAGUGGAAUAAAGAUUGCUUUCAAACCAAAACAAUUCUUUUAUUAAAAAACAACAGAGGAGAGAGACAAACAAAAAAAAACACUUCAGCACUGAGGGGGAUGGGGGAAGGGAGGGUGCCAGGAGGAGGUGGGGUCCUGGGACCGUUAAAGAUUUGUGUAUAGCCGGGUAUCCUAUCCAGCCUUCUCCUUUGGAGUACAGUGCAGAGGUUACUGUACUUCAGUAGGGCUACACUGCAGAGGGACGGGUGAUGAGUGCAGUGGGUACUGGGAGUCCACAGGGCUGGACUGUGACAGGGCAGAGGAAUGGAAUGCAGCGGGUUCAGACUGGAGCCAGGAGGUUGAGAAGAGUGUGUUGGCGGUGUCUGGGGGGACGUAUGGGAAAGAGUUUUGCGACAGCGGCUGCAGGGGAGGACGGAUGUUGAGCUGCUCGGUUUGCAGUGCUAGUAGAGCCUGGAGCAUGUCUGCUUGGCGCCCCAUAACGUUUAAGAGCCGCUCCGUGGCUUCGUUCUGGUGCGUUGCGUUCUCCUUUCGGUCCCUCUUCUCGCUGUCCUGCCACUCCUUCAAUUCUUGUUUUUUGGCCACGGAGUGAUGACAUCACAGACAAAGUCCUCUUCAGUUCUUCGUGGCUGCUUCCUAAUUCUGCGCAGCCAUUCAGCCGCUGAUAACAAAGAGGGAGGCUGGGCUGUCAAAGUCAUAUCUGUGAAGCCAAAACAUAACAUUUUACAGAAGCAGUAUUGUUUGCAACACACAGGCCAAUGAUUUAAAACAUAGCCACUAUUCACAUACCGGUCACUAACUGGCUGACCUCAGGCAAGGAUACAUGAACCGCAAACCCCCCAAAAUGGUGAGUAGCCGCAGGGGCAGGGUAAAUAAUUGUUCCCAGACCCUACGGGACACUGGCCAUCUGACUCUUGGAGAGAGCCAG